GUAUUCGGGUAAUCGCAUUGAAGUUUUACUUUAAUGAGGAAAGUCCAUGCUCGCACAAGCUGCGAUGCUUGUAGUGAUCGUGCCUAAUGAAACAAUAAGUUAGGGAAGCAAUUUACUUUGCUUACGGCUGGGAAACUACCUAAACUUUUUUACAAAGCAUGGUAGAAUUACCUAUAAAAGUGCCACAGUGACGAAACUAAAAAGAAAUUUUUAGUGUGGAACGAUGGUAAACCCCACGAGCGAGAAACCCAAAUUUGGUAGGGGAACUUUUGUUGAGAAAAUGAACUUAAACAAGAGACAGAUUUCUGUAGAUAAAUGAUUACCGCCGGAGUACGAGGAGGCAUCCGUUAUAGUACAAAGGUACAGAACAUGGCUUACAUGA
rnacentral:RNase_P_RNA from 1 species